rnacentral:rRNA from 1 species
GCUUGUCUCAAAGAUUAAGCCAUGCAUGUCUAAGUAUAAACGACUUUAUACUGUGAAACUGCGAAUGGCUCAUUAUAUCAGUUAUAGUUUAUUUGAUGGUCCUUGCUACUUGGAUAACCGUAGUAAUUCUAGAGCUAAUACAUGCAUCAAACCCCGACUUCUGGAAGGGGUGUAUUUAUUAGAUGGAAACCAAUGCAGGGCAACCUGGAAUAUGGUGAUUCAUAAUAACUCGCGGAUCGGUUUACCGAUGCAUCAUUCAAGUUUCUGCCCUAUCAAUUGGCGAUGGUAGGAUAGAGGCCUACCAUGGUGUUAACGGGUGACGGGGGAUUAGGGUUCGAUUCCGGAGAGGCAGCCUGAGAAACGGCUACCACAUCCAAGGAAGGCAGCAGG